GGCAAUGAAUAAAUAUUUGCACAAAUAAAUGCUUAUAUAAAUAUGCGCGAUCCGACUAGGAUUAGUGAUAUAUAUAUAUAUAUAUAUAUAUAUACACACACACACACUUGUGAAAGGUUGUGUGCCCAUAAUUAUGCCACGUGACUAGCCAUUGUCUCAAGGUAAUAGCCUUUGAUGCAAUAGUAUAUAAUAUAUUGAUCAGUUCGGUGCAUGUGUUUAGCACAUGCAAUAGAUGGAGUUAUGAUCAUUUACAAUGAUUAAGUACUGACUUUCUGUCAGCACAGUACAUUUAAUAUGGUGUUACAUGGCAUAUAAGUGAUGCAUUUGUAUUGCACUACGCAUACUGAUAUUGGUAUGUGCAUAGCAGACUUAAGUUUACAACAGCAUUAUUUAAUAAAAGCACAAGCACGCGGCAUAUGCGGUUGCAUUCUAGCAACAAGUAUAUAUAUAUAUAUAUAUAUACUGUUGUGAUGCCAACUAUCAUUAU
rnacentral:lncRNA from 1 species